AAAAGGCGUUUGAGUCGCGUGUCCUGGACCCGAAGCGGGAUGAUCUAGCCCUGAGCAGGUUGAAGCGCGGGUAAGACCGCGUGGAGGACCGAACCCACCUGGGUUGAAAACCGGGGGGAUGACUUGGGGCUAGGGGUGAAAGGCCAAUCAAAUUCCGUGAUAGCUGGUUCUCUCCGAAAUGCAUUUGGGUGCAGCGUCGGGUCAUUACGUCCCGGGGGUAGAGCUACUGGAUGCUUGCGGGCCCGUAUCGGGUACCAACAGCAACCAAACUCCGAAUACCGGUGACGCGUAUCCCGGCAGUGAGUCGGCGGGGGAUAAGCUUCGUCGUCGAAAGGGAAACAGCCCAGACCGUCGUCUAAGGUCCCGAAGCGUGUGCUAAGUGGGAAAGGAUGUGGAGUCGCAUAGACAGCCAGGAGGUUGGCUCAGAAGCAGCCACCCUUGAAAGAGUGCGUAACAGCUCACUGGUCUAGUGGUUCCGCGCCGACAAUGUAGCGGGGCUCAAGCACACCACCGAAGACGCGGCAGUAUUUUGUACUGGGUAGGAGAGCGUCCCAUGAGGGGCGAAGCGGCCGUGUGAACGCGCCGUGGACUUCAUGGGAGUGAGAAUGCAGACAUGAGUAGCGAGAGACGGGUGAAGAUCCCGUCCGCUGGAUGACCAAGGGUUCCAGGGCCACGUUCAUCGUCCCUGGGUGAGUCGGGUCCUAAGGCGAGGCCGACAGGCGUAGUCGAAUGGAUGAACGGGUCGAUAUUCCCGUACCGGCUUUCAGCCGCCAAAACCGAGGCUUGGAGUACUGACCUCCGGGUCCGGGCUUACUGCUCCUUCGGGGGCGGGAUGCCCUGGCCUGUUGGGACCGAUCCUUGUAGUAGGUCAGCGCAGGAGUGACGCAGAAGGGUAGCCGGCCGCGGAGGUGGUCUUCCGUGGUCAAGCACGCAGGGCGUGGGACAGGCAAAUCCGUCCCGCAUGGGUCCGAGGUGCGAUGAUGGGGGCCUUAUGGCCCGAUAUCCGGUGAUCCCGGCUGCCGAGAAAAGCUUCGGCGUCAGGCUCAAAGCCGCCCGUACCCCAAACCGACACUGGUGGUCAGGUAGAGAAUACCAAAGCGAUCGAGCGAAUCCUGGUCAAGGAACUCGGCAAAUCACUCCCGUUCCUUCGGUUUAAGGGAGACCCCCGAUGGUGAACACACUUGCUGUGGGAGCUUUUGGGGGUGGCACAGACCAGGGGGUAGCGACUGUUUACCAAAAACACAGGUGCAUGCGAAGGCGCAAGCCGCUGUAUAUGCACUGACGCCUGCCCGGUGCCGGAAGGUUAAGAGGAUCCGUCAAUCCCUUCGGGGACGAAGCGGUGAAUUCAAGCCCCGGUAAACGGCGGUGGUAACUAUAACCAUCCUAAGGUAGCGAAAUUCCUUGUCGGGUAAGUUCCGACCUGCACGAAUGGCGUAACGACUUCCCCACUGUCUCGACCAGGAGCUCGGCGAAAUUGCAGUACGAGUAAAGAUGCUCGUUAAGCGCAGAAGGACGAAAAGACCCCGGGACCUUUACUAUACCUUGGUAUUGGC
rnacentral:rRNA from 1 species